rnacentral:tRNA from 1 species
GUGGUGGCUCAGUGGUACAGUGCUUGCCUAGCAUGCAUGAGGCACUGGGUUCGAUCCUCGGCACCACA